UCCGCGCGAGGGCCGCCGGAUGGGGGCGCUGCUGCCGAGAAGCUCGGGUUCUCGGGUGGGGAGUCGGGGCGCGCUGGCAUCCCUAAGUACCCCCCGAGAUUUACAGUAACUCACGGCACCAGCACAGAGGCGGGAGUGGCGUAAGUUGAGGAUAGUGCCAGGAUCCUUAACCAGAUGUGGAGUCGGCAGGUAGUAGUGGAAACACCACGUGCCGGAGCCAGAGUGAUCUGCGCUUGAACCCUGGGUCUUCCUCCACUUACUCUGCAACUUGGGGCAAGUCGCUGUGAACUCAAAACAGAAGAACUCUCAUUGACUUAUCUUUCUGAAGUAUCAUUCUGACUGACAUCUUUUUGAAGAAGGCAAUGAAGCUGGAUAAUCUCCCACCUACUUAAUGGUUCCUUCUCAGAUUCUAGCAUUUUAAGGCUCGGUCAAGAAUGCUCCAAGGACAACUGCUUUUAUAGGAACUUGUGGAAAGAAAAGCUGAUGUGUUUUUGUACUACAAUGAAAUCUGUAGGUUUUUUCUCCUUCUAGGACCAAUUCUCUAGUGCACAAAAGGGUAGUGACAAGACUGAAAGCAUUUCUGCACAGAUUACAUCUACACUGCUUCCCUCCAGAAGGAGUUUCUAAUGUAAAACCAAGUUAUUGCUCUUUGUAAAGAA